GGGCGGUUAGCUCAGUUGGUUAGAGCGACUGGGUCACAUUCAGUAGGUCGAGGGUUCGAGUCCCUCACCGCCCACCA
rnacentral:tRNA from 1 species